UUUUUUUUUUUUUUUUUUUUGGUACUUCAGAAAUUCUUAUAGGUAAUGGGGCUAUGAUCAUAAUUACUGGUCGAUCCUUGUAUUUUUACAAUUACACUAAAAUAUCCUUGACCUUUCUCUCCGUUAACUAACGAGUCCUUUCAUUCAUUUUUUUAUUGUGUUUUCCGUCUAGAUUAAAAGACCAACACAGAGUGAUAGACUAAUCAAUAGAAAUAGAAAGAAAUGGCAUUGCUGUUUAUACUUCCACUUCAUUAUAAGGAUUUACUAACUAGAAUCUCACCAUAAAUCUAACAUUAUAUAUAAAUUUAGCAUAUUAUAAUAGUGAAAAUAGAUGUAGAUUAAAAAUCAAAUGGAACAAACAUUAAUUCUCUAUAAAAGUUAGUCUCUAAUUAAAUAACACAAAAUUUACACUAAAAUGUAAAACCACGUAAAAUAUAUUCUUAUUGCAACGAAUGUAAAACUAAUCAAAUUGAGAUAAAUAACCACAGAUUUUAAUGAAGAUUAAAAUAAUUAAUUUAUCCUAUAUGUCCGAUUGAAUAUUUCUCCCCAGCAUGACAAGUAUCUGCCAAAUAGAAUUAUAUUCAGAACUUAAAUUAAAAAAAGAAAAAAAA
rnacentral:misc_RNA from 1 species